rnacentral:misc_RNA from 1 species
GUUACCGGGAGUGAAGCGAAGAAGAGUAUGGGUUUUUUUUGUGUGUUUCACCAGGUUAUUAUUUUGGUGGGGUGCUAGAGGUAGAGGAUUGUUCACGA